rnacentral:rRNA from 1 species
GACGUAGGGCGCGAGCGUUGUCCGGAUUUAUUGGGCGUAAAGAGCUCGUAGGCGGCUUGUCGCGUCGUUCGUGAAAACCUGGGGCUCAACUCCAGGCUUGCGGGCGAUACGGGCAGGCUAGAGUUCGGUAGGGGAGACUGGAAUUCCUGGUGUAGCGGUGAAAUGCGCAGAUAUCGGGAGGAACACCUAUGGCGAAGGCAGCUCGCUGGGACGGUACCGACGCUGAGACGCGAAAGCGUGGGGAGCAAACAGG